GUGCUUGCUUCAGCAGCACAUAUACUAAAAGUGGAGUGAUACAGACAUUAGCAUGGCCCCUGCACAACUAUGACGUGGAAAUUCAUGAAGCAUUCCAUAUUAAA
rnacentral:snRNA from 1 species